rnacentral:rRNA from 1 species
ACUCAUUCAAAGAGUGCGUAAUAGCUCACUGGUCGAGUGAUCCUGCGCCGAAGAUUUCCGGGGCUAAAACUUACUACCGAAGCUACGGCAUCAGUAAUGAUGGGUAGGGGAGCUUCCCAUACAGGUUGAAGCAUGACCGUAAGGACAUGUGGACAGUAUGGGAGUGAGAAUGUUGGCAUGAGUAGCGAGAUGUGGGUGAGAAUCCCACAGGCCGUAAACCCAAGGUUUCCAGGGGAAGGUUCGUCCGCCCUGGGUUAGUCGGGACCUAAGCUGAGGCCGAAAGGCGUAGGUGAUGGACAACAGGUUGAUAUUCCUGUACUACCGAUAACCGUUUGAGAGAAGGGAUGACACAGUAGGAUAAGCUAAGCACACUGUUGGUUAUGUGUGCCCAAGCAUUGAGGCAGUCAAAGUAGGUAAAUCCGCUUUGAUAAUGCUGGGAUGUGAUGGGGAGCGAAAUUUAGUAGCGAAGUAGCUGAUUUCACACUGUCAAGAAAAGUCUCUAUCGAGGUUAAAGGUACCCGUACCGCAAACCGACAC